rnacentral:rRNA from 1 species
CCAGCCACACUGGAACUGAGACACGGUCCAGACUCCUACGGGAGGCAGCAGUGGGGAAUAUUGCACAAUGGGCGCAAGCCUGAUGCAGCCAUGCCGCGUGUAUGAAGAAGGCCUUCGGGUUGUAAAGUACUUUCAGCGGGGAGGAAGGUGUUGUGGUUAAUAACCGCAGCAAUGACGU